ensembl:snRNA U6 U6 spliceosomal RNA
CUGCUGACUUUGGUAGCUCAUGCAUUAAAAUUGGAAUGAUCCAGAGAAGAUAAGCAUGGGUCCUGUGCAAGGAUGACAAGAAAAUUUGUGAAGUUUUAGAAAAACAA